CCCGCGAUCCGCGAGGCGGACAGCACUCGCCAAGAACGCGCAAGUGCUCGUAAAAAGAAGGAGGCCCCGCAAACAUCCCUUCAGGCUCCUCUAUCGCGUUCACGAGCCUUCACCGUGAUACGUUUUCUCCUAUCCCAAAUCGUGGAAAAAAUUCGACACGAAAAAGGGACCGCAAGUUUGAUUAUGGUGUGUAUUGUUCCAUGAACCGAGGAAGGAUCGACAGUGGUGGCGGAUCGAUUAUCAACAGACGAGGAGUCGCGUGUGACGGGAAUUUCAGGAUCGAUGUGACCGGCACUGAUGCCAGGAAUUCUGGCUGCGUGGCAACCAGUUGCGGAUGCGAACUGGGGUUGAGUAUAGAAUCCGUAUAAAGCUCACCAUGAAUGAUCCUUCGGCGUGAAAUCGUAUCGGGAAUCUCUGUCAAAAUUCAUCGGUGGAGGCUCGCGUGGAUUUUCAAAUCGUAGAGGUGCUUCUCGAGUAAUUUACUUAUUUUUUUUUUUGGUGGAUCGAUCUGGAGAGCGUGGCAGAUCGUCGAGCGUCGCGACUGCUGUUGAUUGCAAUUCGAAUGGAAAAGAGCUUUUAUUCAGCGAAAGAGAAUCAUUCUUAAAGUUCGCGAACGACCUGAUCUGUAUAUCGAGGAUAAACAACGAUCGUGUCACAUCGAUCCGAUUGGUAUAAGUUUACAAACGCGAUAUCGAAUCUCUUCAAUAUCUCCGUCGUUCAAAAUAUCACAACGUGCGCCUUAACGAUACCAAAAAAAAAGGGGAAAAAACGAAUGACACAGGCCUAACUUGGGAUCAACGGACUAUCGAUUUCAAAAAUAUCACGCGAUUUUCUAACACGUGAACGUCACGCAGCUUUUCUGAAAAGAUUUUUCAUACGUGUGCGACGAGUUAUAUACGCGCGCGCAUUAUUGAAAUGCACGUUUUCCUACAAAACAGCAGCGGCUGAAAGGUCGUGAUCGAUCGACUCAAUUUGAUAACCUCCGAAAGAAGGGGUACCUUAGGGUGUACCGUCAUGUAUAGCGAUAAGAUGAGAACUGAAAAGUAAAAUAGGUGAGAGAGUGAUAGGUACUCAAAGAACCCGUACGUGGUUUAUCUACGCCACGACAAGAUUUAUAAGUACUGCUACUUGAGCGAGCGUCUUUCGGACCUGAAGAUGCAGACACAGCGAUAAUCGAAUUGACCGCGAUCCCUUGCAUAAUGUCGUAUCAAGACCGUUCGCGAGAAUGGCGUUCUUCGAGCUUUACGACGCUGCAUCGAUUUCAAGAUCAUUCUUCGCGAUAUCCGUCAAAAUUUGGUGAGAAAGCUCGCGACAAUAAAAUGUUCGUCGGUCAAACGAUAAUCGUCAAUUAAAAAUCUCGAAUUAAUUGCACUCUUGCGACAAAUUAUUAUAAACCUCUAGUUUUGUAUAAAAAAUAAAGAAAAUAUUGUUCGAUGCAACCUUCAUCGAGUCAUACGAUAAAACUACUCGACUUCACAUCGCAUUUUCGAAGAUCGAGCUAGUAGACGGCCUCAUUCUCCAAUGUCUCCUAGAUGCGAAAGACGGAAACGCGAUCGAAUUCACUGGAUCCCGCGUCCCCUGCUGGACGAGUCAUCCACGAGGAAAACGAUGGUCGACAGAUGUCUGCUCGACAGUUGAUCCGCAGAGAAUCAACAACUCCAUAAAUAAGCACGGCCUAAGCGAUGAUCGGCCUGUAGAUUGGCGCGCUCGAUGAGUCGUCGCGGAAACGAGCAUCAAGAAGCAGCAGCGAGCACCAUCCGAACAAGAAGAAGAGGCAAGAGAAGAAGAAGACGAAGAAGAAGAGAAGCUUAUAGCCGCGUAGCAUCGUCUCCCUCUCGAAAGAGCCGCGUUCCGGGUGAUGCGCGGAAGUAGCUCCGAACUUCUGCUGGAGGCGAGCUGCAGCCAGUGCCAGAGCGAUCAGGGGCAUCGGCGUCGAGACAGCGACGACGGCGGCGGUGGCGAGGGGUACGACUUCUACGAGCGGGAGCUACGUCGUCGCAAACUGUUGGAGCUCGGGUUCGGCGCGUCGCGGCGCCGACCGCCACGGCGUACCUGCCGGCAGCGGCUUAACUUCUACGCCACGUCGGCUCUGGCCUUCGUCGCGACAUCCGGCGGUGCGGCGCUUCUCUUCCUGGUGCCGCUCUACGUCGAUCCGGCCAUCAGUACUCUGGCGGCGGACUUCUCGCCGCAGCCGGUCAUCUGCACGACCUCGCGACGUGAGGAACUUGCCGGUCUCUUCAACUGCACAUGGAGUUCGUGCCGCGAGGGUUGUACCAGUGAUGUGUACAGGUGCACCCACAUAUAUGUCACCUACACACCAUGGAGUAACGUCACGAUGAGGAACGACACUGGCGGCAGGAACACCACUGUCGCGACCAACGCCACGACUACUCUGGGCGCCGUCACUGCCGUAUCCUCCCCGGGGGACGUCGAGGCGGUGCUGCUGGUGAACAUCAAGGGCUGCGGAUACCCGCCGACAGUCGACUGCAAGAAUUUCACCCGCGAGUUGGGUUACGAGGGCGCGAAAUUUCCCUGUCAUUAUAGCCGGGUGAACGGCAGUAUAGUGAUGGCGAACUAUAAUCGCGAGGCACAGAUCACCAUCAUUAUGCACUUCUUCGCGGCGCCUUUCGUAGUGACUCUCGCGACCAGCGUCGCGCUGUGUGUGAUGCACUGUGACUGCAGAUGCACGCCGCCCCCGCGACAUCCUCCGCGCGGCAUGAGAAGAUCCAAGGGCAACGAUCUCAGCUGCUGCAUGAGUAUAAAAAAUCGAUAACGAGUUAGAAGCAUGCCAGAAGUCGUCCGUUUUAGAAGGUGUAUUUGAUGAGGCAAAUAAACUUUCUAAACCAUACAUAAGACAAAGCGACUUAACAAUGAGAUGUUACUCCAACUUAUCGUCGUCGUGAAACGACUGCUAAACUCUUUCGGCUGCGAAUACUGCCUUAGAAGAAAAGAGAGAAUCGCAGAAACGGAAAUCGGAUAUCGAUUCAUCAUCUCUCGUAAUCCUCCGCUAAUUAACACCAAAAGGCGCAUUCAUCUCAUUAACAAAACGAGUGCGCCACCCGAAAGCCGUGACUGCGCUCUUCGUGCAACGCAAUGAACAUGUGUAAAAAGAGAUCUCUAGAGUUAUCGAUCGGACGCCGUAAGUAAUUUCGUGCACUCGGAAUAAUCGACAGCCCUCACGGUUGAUAUGUUGCGUAAACGAGCAUACAGCCGCUGCGCCUAACUCUGAUAAUCCAUCAUUCUUUCGAAUGUUUUCUCUCUCCUUGUGAUUUUUUCUCCAAUCGCUGAAAUAGUCAGCGAAAUAGUCAUAUAAGUCAUGCCUUUUCCUCUUGCAGAAAAAAGAUUUUAUACAAGUAUUUUAUGUAAAAUCUAGUAAUUUUCCAAUUAUCUUAUAGCUUUUUCCAGG